CUAACAAUUCUUCCGCGUAGCUCCUUACAUUCCCCCACUCUGUGUUCCACACUUGCAUAGUCUCUAACAAUUCUUCUGCAUAGCUCCUUAUGUUCCCCUGCUCUGUGUUCUGUGCUUGCGUAGUCUCUAAUGAUUCUUCCAUGUAGCUCUCAAUGAUUCCCCCGCCCCAUGUUCCGCACUUGUGUAACUUCUAACAAUUCUUACACAUACCCCUUAAUGUUCUUCCACUCCGCGCUCCACUAUGGAGCGGCUUCUGAUAUUCUUCCGCCCCGAACUUUCCCCUAUAAGAACCCCCUUCAUACGACC
rnacentral:sRNA from 1 species